AUGUCGUCGAAUCUAAAUCAACAAUAUACUACCGCCGCUACUUUCUCGGAAACAUUCAAAGGUGGUCUGGACACCCAAUUUGGUCAGACAGGUGAAGAGAGCAUUUAGGAUAGUUCGAAGAGAUGAAGAUGGUUGCAAUUGUGUUCAAAGAGGCAAAUGCCCCUCUUUGCUCCUGACAUUAUGUUCAACCAUUGACCUCUGCACACCUAACACAAGCAACUGCCGUCGCACGGGGUGGCGGGGCCGACAGACCCCCAUCGCUCCAACGCUCAGCGC